GGGGAUUUAGCUCAGUGGUAGAGCACUUGCCUAGCAAGCGCAAGGCCCUGGGUUNAGUCCUCA
rnacentral:tRNA from 1 species